AUGACAAUUGAGAGAAGAACAAACUGACAAGUGACAAUGAAGAAAACAACACAAACUUCUUUUUUUCUCCUACGUUUGCUGCUUCUUAUAUGCCUAGUCUUUCAGGUUUGUGUCACAGAGGCUAGAUUCCGCCACCUAGGCGAGGAACGGAUUGGCAGUUUUCGCUCCCGUUCACGUAAAGGCAAAAUCGGACGGAGAGAAUAAGCUACGGUGGCACGUAGAGGUGCUCCUAGGGGAAGUGAAGUUACGGCAAUAAUGAAACUGGCAUUGUCAAACAGGUCGCGGACCUCCCCGUGUUCAUUCCAAAUAAAUUGUUUUACGCUUUGCUAAGGAUUAGCGCUUAAUUGAGACUAUUUUUUUUGUUCACUUGAGACAUUUUCUAUUCUCUUAUAAAAAUCAUGUGUACAUGGUAAAAAUAAAGUUUACAGUAAUGUUUUUCAUCAAAACAAUUCAGCUAACUCA